AUUUAAUCCUACAUCAUAGUGUUAAUCCAUCGGAUCCCAUUAGAAAUCCGCAGUUAAGCGCGCUCAAGAUAGAUUAGUACUGGGAUGGGUGACCGCCCAAGAAGUCCUAGUGUUUUACAUG
rfam:Picea glauca, whole genome shotgun sequence.